rnacentral:lncRNA from 1 species
GUUUGACUCAACGCGGAUUCCGUAGCUCAACUCCACCGCAGCAGGAAGUGAUAAAAUUCUCUCAGGGCCCGCCAAGAGUGAAAGUUUCUUCGUUUGCCACCAACUUUUCCAGGUUCCUAUAGGAGAAUCAUAGAAUCAUAGAGUUGGAAGAGACCUCGUGGGCCAUCCAGUCCAACACUCUGCCAAGAAACAGGACAAUCACAAAAAUUUUGUUUUUGAUAUGUUAUCUACGUUGUUUAUAUUCUCGACUAUAUUUUAUUAUUCUCAUGGAUGCACCAGAGUCUGCCUUGCCAGGAUCUUCUACUUCUGUUCUGACUGGCACAAAACCAGCAGCAGAUCAUCUCAGGGCAUCUGUUUUGGGCAGAAACGCCUUCUACCUUUCCAAAGCUCAAGUUAAAAUCAUCAAUUAAAAUAAUACAAAAAUAACAGCAAUCAUUACUAAUUAUGGCUGCCUGCAAUACACUGAAACAUGUUCUUGAAAUCCCAUGCUGGCAAGGCACAGAUUACCUUCCUGAAAUAGAACAUCUCUGCCCAGUCAACAAGUUGGGGAUAUUGUUAGCUACUUCUGUAAUCAAACACUAUUUCUAAAUUGUUUUAUGUGUACCAUACUGAAGGAUGACUGUGCUGCUAUAAAUUGUGGGACCUCAUGAAGCAAACUUUAAUCCUCACAUACACCAAGUAAAAAGAGCAUAUAUUCAGUGAAUGUCAGGGUAUUUUCGGACCCAACAUAUUCCAAAAUGUCCUGAACCAAAUACCUUUGGCCUAAAGGUACCAAUUGCUUUCUAAUCUUGGAAGCUAAGCAGGGUCGGCCCUAGUUAGUAUUUGGAUGAAAGACCACUAAUGAAUAUAAGGUGCUAUAAGCUAUAUUUCAGAGGAAGGAAUUGUCAAACCACCUCUGAGUAUCCCUUGCUUAAGAAAACCCUAUAGAAUUCCUGGACUCACCAAAGGUUUCCUUGAAGAUGUACAAACAUAUUACAAAAUGUUAAAAUUCCCCAUCUCUCCAAAUAUAUGUGUUUUUUUGUUAUUGGUGUGGGAUGAACAAUAUUACUUUAAAUCUAUACAAGUGGAAAGAAAAUCACCAAAUUGCUAAGAUACAGUUUCAAAGUAUUUUGGAUUUGCAGGGCUAAAGCAUUCACAGUGAGUGAAUUCUGACUGCAUGGUGAAUAACAAUGUAUUGCAGAAUAUUAAAAAAGCUAUUGUUAUUCCUCAGUCCUCAGAUGCUGAGUACUAGAAAAUAAAGAUCCAAAUGAGAUGGAAUGUUUAUUACUUUUUGCAAUACCAUUUUGGUAGCACUCAAAAAUAUAACUGUUGCUUCUGAUCCAAAACAAUGAAACAUUCCCCAAAACAAGAAAACAACCUUGAAUGAAAUCAGCUGUUUUUCUGUUUUUUGGGUUUUUUUUAAGAAGCUCUUAUGUGAAUGGGCCAAUUUUCUACCCUGGUAACCAAAUAGUUUCCGAUGAGGAAAAUGUAACCCUGUGAAAGGCUAUGCUUUGUGCCAGCUACCACAGGAUGUCACUUUGAUGCUAAAGUGCUUUCUUCAAUCAAAUGUCCCUCAAACUGUGCACUGCCUGCUGGUUUUCUAAUCCAUUGCCCCAUUGAAGAAAUAACAGCAGUGACUUCUUGUUGUACAUGUUUAUUCAGCUGAAGGGUGACACUAGGGUGCAGUCCUAGAUGAAUUGCAGCUUUUUGGUGGCUCAGGUAUGGCACAUUUUCUCCUCUGCAAGAGUCAUAGCUUUCCACUAACAGGAUGGCUGUGCAGCCGCAAAAUGAUGUCUUUCUAAGGCUCUGUGAAUUUCAAUCUCCACUCAAUGGAAGAAAUGUUCUUUUCUCCUGAAUGGGAGCAGCCUAACAGUUUGUCACUUCUGCUUCUCUACAAUAAAUAAAUAAAUAAAUAAAAGUCCCACAAAAUGGCAUGCAAGAUUCUUUGUGUCAAUUCAAAACAGAGGCAAUGGAAAAGUCAGAGUUGCCGGUGGCAAAAUGCAAUAGGUUUGUUGGGGCAAUGUGUGUCCCAGUCCCAGUCAGUUUAAACAAAAGCUGCAAAUAAACUAUGGGAUGUUGUGUUUUUGUUUUGAUAUUAAUUUUAUUGUAUUUUAAUAUGUGUGUAUUUUAAUACAUAUUUUAAAGAAAUGCGUUUUAAUAUAUAUCUUUUUAUAGAAAUACAUUUUAAUAUGUGCAUUUGUGGUAUUUUUAAUUAUUCUGUAACCUGCCUCAAACGACAAAAAGAGGCGGGUACGAAAUAGAAUUAUUAUUAUUAUUACUAUUAUUACUAUUAUUAUUGACAGUCAACAAUAGUACAAUAUCCCCAUUGCAACAAGUUACCUCCUUCAUUCUAAAUAAGCCCACACCUUCUCAUCUCUCCCCAUUUCAUAAUGAACUUCAAAAAUACAGUUUUGUCACACUUCUUACACCUGCAUUUUCAAUAUUUUCUAUUACAUAUUAUUAUAAUGGUAUUUAUCUAGACGUUGAUCCAAAAUUUAAUUUGAUCAUUCAGUGGUUUGGAUUUUCUACUGUUUGACACAUAUAACUAAUAAAUGGGAUAUUGCUUACAACUCUUCCUAUGGCAAUGUCAUAAAAUCCCUGUCUUGUUGGUCUAGUUAUACGUCAGUUCUGCAACAAAAUGUGACUCUGGGGGAUUAAAGGUCCUGUCUGAUUGGAUGAGUGUUAAAUGCUAAAUUGAUGGUUCUGGUUGCGUCAGCAUGGAACAGGCAAACCUUGAGAAGGGAAUAAUUGCUUGAGUCAGAUGACAGUCCUUGUAUACCCUGGACAGGGGAAAACAUGUUUUAUGAUGGCAGGAAUACUUCAUACUAGGGAACAUCUUGUUAUCGAAUGUCACAAAUGCUUCAUCUCCUGGGGUCUGUGUAACCUAGCAUCCACUUUGUGUAAAAUAAAGCAAUCAAUCAGGUUGCUAGCUUAAAUCUGAUCUCCCAGUUCUACUUACUUUGUCCAUAUAAAGCUAUAGGCCAGAAUGUCAUGCUAAAUAUUUAUAAUUCAGCAGGAUGAAUCCAAAUAAAUAUGAUAUUAGCAAAAAGAGCUAGGGUUACCUUUAUGGUGCCCCCCCAGUGCUAAUCUUCCUGCGAAAUCAGGUAAAAGUGUCCACCAGAAUAAAUUGAGGAAGUGAGAAGGGACAUUCAAUUUUCAGCUAGGAAGCUACAGUUUUCUUGGCUGGGCAUAGAUGUAUUUCCCCAGAACCUUUGGGGAGUAAGGUACCUUCCAUAAUCCUCACCUGCUAAAGCAGUGGUUCUCAACCUGGGGUCUCCAGAUGUUUUUGACCUACAACUCCCAGAAAUCCCAGCCAGUUUGCCUGAUGUUAGGAUUUCUGGGAAUCGAGGGCCAAAAACAUCUGGACACCCCAAGUUGAGAACCACUGUGUUAGAGAGAAAGGAGCAAUUCAUCCAUUCACUUUAAUGAGUAGACAAAGUAAGCUGUGCAAAAGUAGCACCAGAAAUUCCCAGGAGAGAAACUUACUAACCAAAGAUCCUUAGGACACCAGGGCCCUUGAUAAGGGAAGAGGGUUAGGCAGCUCCUCCUUUCACCCGCACAAAAUAAUGGUGCAUUUGCCCCAAUCAUAGAAUCAUAGAAUAGUAGAGCUGGAAGAGACCUCAUGGGCCAUCCAGUCCAACUCCCUGU